AACUCAUUACUCUCUCUAGGUUCUUCGAAUUAGAUUCAGCGGGGAACCCUAAUCGCAAAUGAGAACGAUGAUAAUUUGAUUAAACCCGAACCUUAAAUAUUCUCCAACUUCAAUUCAAUCUAUGUUCAACAAAGUUACUCAACGGAUUAUAAAACCCAAAAUCAAAUGGAUUGAUGUUCCUUUUUUCUAAAACCUGAAAUCUAACGGAGUCUUAUUUAGAUGGACUGAUUUUUCUCCUCUCAACUUCGCAGUAUUAUUUUGCUGUAUCUGAGGUGAAGAAGAAGAUUGUAAUGGAGGUGGUGCGGAUGAGAUAGUGACGGAUGUGGUAGUACCUGAAGUGGAGAAGAGGAGAUAAAAGAGGAUCAAACAGAAAAUAAAUCAAAUACAAAUUCAGUAUCGGUCAUUAAAUAGCAAUCCAAGUAUGUCUACCAGCAACUCGGUGAUGAAGAUUCAUAACUACUGAUGCAGGGGUGUAUUGCGUGGUUGGAUAAAUUGCUUCAUACCUUCUCUCGAACGGAGUUUAACACAUGUAGCAUGAUCGAGACUUUUUAUAAGCUAAACUUGACAAAUCUUGGUAGUUUUUAUAUUAUUCAUGCUAUAUAUUAUUUAGUCAUAAUUUUGUUGAUAACUAUGUAAUGGCCUUUUUAUUUUUUUAUUUGGAUUGGGUAGUCUUUUAUUUUUGAUUUUUUCUUCUCGGAUUCCUGAGUUAUUAUUAUUUAUUUAUUUAUUGAAUAAUUACCUAUAUCAAAUUAUUCAAAUUUAAUUGAACAACUA